CCUACGGGAGGCAGCAGUGAGGAAUUUUCCGCAAUGGGCGAAAGCCUGACGGAGCAAUACCGCGUGAGGGAUGAAGGAUUUUGGUCUGUAAACCUCUUUUCUCAAGAAAGAAGUUCUGACGGUACUUGAGGAAUAAGCAUCGGCUAACUCCGUGCCAGCAGCCGCGGUAAUACGGGGGAUGCAAGCGUUAUCCGGAAUCAUUGGGCGUAAAGCGCCUGUAGGUUGUUUAUCAAGUCUGUUGUUAAAGACUAGGGCUUAACCCUAGAAAAGCAAUGGAAACUGAUAGACUAGAGUAUGGCAGGGGUAGAGGGAAUUUCUAGUGUAGCGGUGAAAUGCGUAGAUAUUAGAAAGAACACCGGUGGCGAAAGCGCUCUACUGGACCAUUACUGACACUCAGAGGCGAAAGCUAGGGUAGCAAAAGGGAUUAGAUACCCCUGUAGUCCUAGCCGUAAACUAUGGAUACUAGAUGUUGAACAGAUCGACCUGUGCAGUAUCAAAGCUAACGCGUUAAGUAUCCCGCCUGGGAAGUAUGCUCGCAAGAGUGAAACUCAAAGGAAUUGACGGA
rnacentral:rRNA from 1 species